rnacentral:rRNA from 1 species
ACCGAUCAUAGCUCAGAUUGAACGCUGGCGGAUGCUUUACAUGCAAGUCGAACGGCAGCACGGACUUCGGUCUGGUGGCGAGUGGCGAACGGGUGAGUAAUGUAUCGGAACGUGCCUAGUAGCCCGGGGGAUAACUACGCGAAAGCGUAGCUAAUACCUUACGCCCUUCCCAGAGGAAAAGCAGAGGACCUUCGGGCCUCGCACUAUGGAAGCAGCCGAUAUCGGAUUAGCUAGUUGGUGGGAGUAACGGCUCGCAAAGGCGACGAUCCGUAGCUGGUUUGAAGAGGACGACCAGCCACGCAGGACUGAGACACGGCCCAGACUCCUACAGGUAGCAGUGGGGAAUUUUGGACAAUGGGAAACCUGAUCCAGCCAUCCCGCGUGCGAUGAAGGCCUUCGGGUUGUAAGCACUUUUUGGCGGGAAAGAAACGGCACGGGGAUAAUACCCCGUGCAACUGACGGUACCUGCAGAAUAAGCACCAGCUAACUACGUGCCAGCAGCCGCAUGAUAAUACGUGAUUACGCAAGCGUUAAUCGGAAUUACUGGGCGUAAAGCGUGCUGGGCGGUUCGGAAAGAAAGAUGUGAAAUCCCAGAAGGAACUUCUUUGGAACUGCAUUUUUAACUACCGAGCUAGAGUGUGUCAGAGGGAGGUACGAUUCCGCGUGUAGCAGUGAAAUGCGUAGAUAUGCGGAGGAACACCGAUGGCGAAGGCAGCCUCCUGGGAUAACACUGACGCUCAUGCACGAAAGCGUGGGGAGCAAACAGGAUUAGAUACCCUGGUAGGUCCACGCCCUAAACGAUGUCAACUAGCUGUUGGGGCCUUCCGGGCCUUGUGGUAGCGCAACUAACGCGUAGAGAUUGACCGCCUACGAGGAGUACGGUCGCAAGAUUAAAACUCCGAGAAUUGACGAGGACCCGCACAAGCGGUGGAUGAUGUGGAUUAAUUCGAUGCAACGCGAAAAACCUUACCUACCCUUGACAUAUCGCAGGUCGAAGAGAUUUGGGAGUGCUCGCAAGAGAACCGGAACACAGGUACUGCAUGGCUGUCGUCAGCUCGUGUCGUGAGAUGUUGGGUUAAGUCCCGCAACAGGCGCAACCCUUGUCAUUGAAUUUGCUACGAGGGCACUCUAAUGAAGCUGCCGGUGACAAACCGGAGGAAGGUGGAUGACGUCAAGUCCUCAUGGCCCUUAUGGGUAGGGCUUCACGCGUCAUACAAUGGUCAGGACAGAGGGUCGCCAACCCGCGAGGGGGGAGCCAAUCCAGAAACCCGAUCGUAGUCCGGAUCCUGAUCUGCAACUCGACUGCGUGAAGUCGGAAUCGCUAGUAAUCUGAGAUCAGCAUGUCGCGGUAGACCCUGGUCCAGGUCUUGUACACACACGCCCGUCACACCAUGGGAGUGGGUUUACCAGAAGUAGUUAGCCUAACCGUAAGGAGGGCGAUUACCACGGUAGGAUUCAUGACUGGGGUGAAGUCGUAACAAGGUAA